AGUAUAUUCUUUACUAAUACGAAACCCUAAAAUAAGACACGGUGGAGGUCCGAUCGACGAGGGGCAGAAGAGGAGGCGAGAAGAUGAUCUACCGGCCGUGGUCUUUGCUGUCGUCCACAGUGGUGGUAUGUGGAGGCGUCGGCACCGCCGGCCUCGCCGGGAUCUUUCUCUUCGGCGUCAAGGAGAAGUUACAAGAAUACCUGUGCCGUGAGGGCGAGAGGCUCCGACAGCUGGAUAGAGCCACGAUGGAAGCAAACAGAGCCAGAACAAGUUGAGAAGAGAUACAAAGCUACGGUGUUCACCAUACCAAUGGUGGUUUCCCUUUUUCUCCAGCUGUGUGAAUUUUCAAGCUCAAUAAAUGUUGCUGCAAACUUCUGUUGGAACUUGGUUUCCACCAGUGGAGAACAAGCCCCACUCUUAGUUGUUAUAAUCUGAAGUUUCAGAUGCUUUGAUCUGUUGUGAUAAUUGGCACCUGAUACUUUAGCCACUCUUUGUUGAUCUUCUGUUCAUAUGGAAGACACCAUCAUUUGUACCGUAUGGAUGAUGCUUUAUCAGGAGAAAGGUUGCAAUGAAU